GUAGGGAAUAUUGGGCAAUGGAGGCAACUCUGACCCAGCCAUGCCGCGUGCAGGAUGACGGCCCUCUGGGUUGCAAACUGCUUUUAUACGGGAAGAAAAAAUACUACGUGUAGUAUACUGACGGUACCGUAAGAAUAAGGAUCGGCUAACUCCGUGCCAGCAGCCGCGGUAAUACGGAGGAUCCAAGCGUUGUCCGGAUUUAUUGGGUUUAAAGGGUGCGUAGGCGGAUCUUUAAGUCAGUGGUGAAAGCCUGCAGCUUAACUGUAGAAUUGCCAUUGAAACUGAAGAUCUUGAAUGUGGUUAAAGUAGGCGGAAUGUAUCAUGUAGCGGUGAAAUGCUUAGAUAUGAUACAGAACACCGAUAGCGAAGGCAGCUUGCUGAACCAUUAUUGACGCUGAGGCACGAAAGCGUGGGGAGCGAACAGGAUUAGAAACCCUAGUAGUCC
rnacentral:rRNA from 1 species